rnacentral:rRNA from 1 species
UACGGAGGGUGCAAGCGUUGUCCGGAAUCACUGGGCGUAAAGGGCGCGUAGGCGGCCUGGUAAGUAGGGGGUGAAAUCCUGCGGCUUAACCGCAGGGCUGCCUUCUAAACUGUCAGGCUUGAGCACGGUAGAGGCAGAUGGAAUUCCCGGUGUAGCGGUGGAAUGCGUAGAGAUCGGGAAGAACACCAGCGGCGAAGGCGGCGCUCUGGGCCGGAACUGACGCUGAGGAGCGAAAGCGUGGGUAGCAAACAGG